CGGGAGAGAGUCACACACUGUGGCCCCGGGGUGACAGUGACCCUUCCUGGGUGAACAGAGGCCCGAUUCACUCUGCUGGGAGCACAAGGCAGGCUGGCCACACAUGCUGGUAUCUACAGAGGGUGGUGGCUGAAGGGAGCUCUUUGUGGGGUAGGCUGGCCUCCCGAAAUGGGUGAUAUCAUUCCUUGGGGCCAGGGUCCCUGGGAUCAGGGCUAGGUGUGAAGGGGCUCAGGAGUCACUGCUCACUUCUUUUGGAAAUCACAGAAGUGCUGAAAAAUGCAGAAGCAUGGGUCUCCUCACGAGGAGGAGACAUCUUGGCUGUUAUUUGGUGAGGACACUGAGCUGGCUUGGGGAGAGCUGGUUGUGUGUCCUGACCUGGGACCUGUCCUGAGCUGGGACCUGCCCGCAGCCUGUCCUCACAUGGCUCCAACACCCUCCACCUCUAGGCAGCCCUCCCUGCCAGCAAGACAACCCACAAUCUGAGGGCCGGUUACCCCUGCUGACAAACUGCACAUGUCCCCUAGUGAGGACUGUGGGGAACCAGGGUGGCAGGUGUGCAAGGCCCAGGAGGCGAGCUCAGAAGUGCGUGUCUGGCCUGACACUGGGACUCUGCUUCCUUCACCUGCUCUGUCCUGCUUCCCUAGCGUGAGUGCGGGGACUGGGGAUGCACAUCAGGGAGCGGACGGUGGGUCCCGGUGGGUCCCAGCCUGAGGGGCAGUGGCUGGGUCAGCUCGCCUGCUGCACUCUGGGGAGUAAUUUGACCACAGGCUGUGUGGGCUGCGUGAUAGUGACACCACGGUGGGCACAUCAGCCCCCGUGAAUGUCCUUUCAUAACUGUCAUCCUGUUUUAAAAAUUUGGAAGUUCGUGGUGUCACUGUCCACCUGUGGAGCUGCACAUGAUUUCUCAGGAAGGACAAUAGCAACCCGCCUGCCGCUGUCUGGCCCAGGCCCUACUUCCCACCCUACAGGGGACAGGGACCAGAAGGAACCAUGCCAGAGACACACGCCUGUCCCCCGUGGCCCUGGGGACCAAGGGGCAACUGGAGUGCAGACAUGUUCUCACAGCCAAGGUGCCUGCUGACAGCCAGGUACUUGCACCAUUUCUAGCCCUCACACCUGCUCUGAUAGGGUGGUGGAAACAAGACCGGGAGUCUGUGAAGUUGCAGGAAGAAGCUGUAGAAGAGCCAUGAAGACCAGGCACUGAGCUGUGGCGCCCGUUUCGUGUGACGGAGACCGCUGCAUGGGGAGACAAGGCUCCUGACAAUCAAACCCCAAGUCCCCACCUAGAGAGAAAGCCAGGCCCUUUCCUCCCAUGUCCAAGGGUCUCACUGUGGGGGGAACAGCGGAGAAGGUGGAUCUGUCACAAACGUGGGUCUACACGCUUCUGAGUCCUCUGCAGCCAACGUUCGCCGCUGGUUUUCAAACGUGGUUUGGCCCACGAGGCCAUGAACACAGAGUGUGCCUUUGAUGGGCAGUGUUUACUUCAGCAAGUGGGCAAAGCAGGAGGCAGGAGAGGGAAGGACCUGGCCGAGAUGGACUAUCUCUACACCAGUGGUCCCUUGUGAAUUAGAUCCUUGCAAGGAGACUACAACCGCAGGAAGAAGACAAAGCCGGGGGACCUCCCCAAAUGCUAAACUCAUCACACUGGAGAUGGGAAGUCCUAUCCAAAUCCAGACCUGGCAUGACUGCUUAACGUUUGCUGUGGGGAGCUGGGGACCAGAUGUCUUAAUCCUUCUGCGAAAGCCAGCUCCUUAUUUCAAAAUCCAUCCUGUUUGACCAUCGAGCCUUCAUAAAAGCUGGAAUGCACGCUGGGAUGAGCAGGGAGCAGAUAGCUCCAGGGACCUGGUGGAUGCCUGCAAACACUCGCCAAACCCUGGGCCAAGCAGGCCAGCACAGGGUCCCCGUAGAAGAUAUUGAACACAUUGACCAUUUUUUCGCCCUCCACUCUGGUUAUUCAAGGUAAGGGAAACGCUGCAGAAGAUAGCAUUUUUUUUUUUUUAAGGAGGCUCAGGGCUCUGUCAUUUGGCACAGUGUUCUGCUUAUUGUGUCUUUGCUGAUAAAUUUAAAACAUUAACUGCAACUUUUGAUACUGAACUUUCCCGUGUGCCACGGGGCACAAGGCCCAUCCCAUAUUGUCCCUCAAGGGCCCAGGAUGAAAAACAAGUGAUUCAGCACUGAUGUAAGAAGUCUGUACUCGCACAGCUAAGCAUCUGUAAAUGAGAACGCUCCAGAGAAUCCAUGGCCAUCUAUGUCUAGGUAGAUGUCGCCAGCCUCCCGGGGCCAAAGGAAAAUCUCUUCAUUCAUGGCCCUGGGCAGGGACCAGUGAGAGCUCAAAGAAACCCUUUUGCGGUAUUACAGACGAGUAUUUACGUUGCUCAUGAACUUUCGGUCCAGGAAAGAUGUGACAACCUGUUUAGGUUUUAAAAGGAGUCCGAUAUCCCAUUGACUGAACGCAGAGCAGGCGCAAAGAACGGUAACCGCAGUAUUGACUAACGCAGUUGGUCCCUUCCAAGGAGGAUGAGGGUGGGGUUUGGAUCAUGGAAAGCACCAUUGAUAGUAUUUUCUUCUGCUUUCCGGAAAAUCAACCAGGAAAGAAACUAUGUCUGAAGCGUUAAAAAAAAAAAAAAAAAAGACUGUCCUGGCUUCUGGUUCUGGAACGGGAGGCCGUACACUCACUUCUCCCUACUCCGUUUCUGUAAACUACACACCCUGGAAACUGUCCAACAGACAGUGAUUAAAGAAAUCUGAAAGGUGGGGGAAAAGAAGGGAGACUGGCAAGAAACCUUGAGACUUGAGCAACAACAACUGGUUGUUUCCUGAGUUUUUGUGUCUCCCGUGUACCCUGACCUGGGCACAGGAGAAGCUUGCAAACGAACAAAUAAAAACCCCACUCAAACCCUAGAAUACUCUGCUCUCUCUGCCAAAGUCUGGGCAAGGGAAAACGUAACAGGGACCCAGCGAGAAGCUCCAGCCCCCACUCUGUGACCCGGGGCCCUUGCAGAUAAUUCAAUCCACCGGCAGCAGCAAAGCCCAGGCAGUUCUGGCUCCUGGUCCAAACUGAGAUGCAGUGGGCAGCCACAGCAUCCGUGGAGCCCUAUGUCUUCUCGGCCUCUGCCAAGUGGUAUAAGGACUUCCAGGCCCACCAGCUUCUUCCCCACUCCCAAAGGUUACCUAGCAACAGAGUCUUUGACCAUAACGCUCACUAACAAAAGAAUAUGAAGCUACGGUAUACUGAAAAACACAAUUAAAUCAAAAUAGAGUUCUGAAAAAAUGUUUGCCACCCACAGGAAAUCAAUAAAAAGGAAAUAGAAGAAUAAUAGACAGAAGGAACAAAUGAUAAAAUGUCAGACUUAUUCCUAACAGAUCAUUAAUUACCUUAAAUGUAAAUAGCCUUAAUUCACCAAUUGAAAGGUAGAGAUUGGCAGAGCGGUUUCAAAAACAUGAUCCAACUAUACGCUGUUUACAAGACACUCCCUUUAAAUUCAAUGACACGUGUAGCCUGAAAGCAAAAGAAAGAAAACGAUAUACCGCACAAGUGUUACUCGAAAGGAAACUCAACUCGAGUAGCUACGUUAACCUCAGGCCCAGCAGAAUUCGGAGUAAACCAAUGGCAAAGAGGGAAGUUACUCGACAAAAUGAUUAACCCGCCAAGAAGGCGGAGCCGUCUUGUGAAACAAACGAUAGCGUUUCACAAUGUAUGAAGCCAAAACUAUGCUGAAAGAAGAAUUGGAUAUAUCCACACCUCUGACUGGGAGCUUAAGCUCCCGCUCCACCCUCUCACUUUGGACUUUCAGAACUACAGGGAAUAGCAGCGAAAACAGAGAGCGCUCGACAGCGCCACCACCGUAAGGCUCCGUCCAACAACAGCUGACCCUACCUUGUUUUAAAGGGCUCAUGGGACAGUCCCUGAGACGGGCCAGCUCCUAGGUUACAAAGUAAACCUUAGCAGAUUUGAGAGGACUGAAAUCGUACAGAGCGUGCUGUCUGACCUUAUGGAAUUAGACCAGAAAUCAAAACGAAGGUCGGCAGGAAAAUCUCCAAACACUUGCAAACUAAACAAUAAACUCCUUAAUAAUUCCUAAGUCAAAGAGGCUGUCUCAAAUAAAAUUUUAAAAAUAUGUGGAGCAAAAGAAAAUGAAAAUAAAAGUAUUAAAAUGUAUGAAAUGCAGCUAACGCAAUGCUGAAAGGGAAAUUUAUGUCAUUAUAAAGAAGAAAUAGCUCAAAUAACUACUUCAGUUUCUAUUUCAGGAAAUUUUAAAGAAAGAGCAAAUUAAACUCAAAGCAAAUAUACAAAAGGAAAUAAUAAAGAGCAGAAAUCAAUAAAAUCGAAAACUGAAAAAUGGUAGAAAAAGUAAUUGAAACAGAAAGAUGUUUCCUCAAAAAAAAAAAAAAAAAAAGAUCAGUAAAAUGAAUUACCUUAACAAGAUUGG